rnacentral:snoRNA from 1 species
GACCUUACUUGAACAGGAUCUGUUCUAAGGAGACAGGAAACCAAGUCCAGUGGAUGAACUGUGGCUAUGAGGUUAGAGCGUGAUUAACAGCCUCCAUGGCCUUUGGGUCAUGGUGCCAUAGAUGAUCGUUCUCUGCCUUGGUGGUCUACUGGGCUUGAGAUGGGCUCGUGGCAAUCUGACAAACU